CAGCAAUAACGGUAGCUGCAGUUCACAAAUCAUUAACUUCAGGUCACCCCUCAAAACAAAUCAUUAACUUCGGGUCUGCCUACUUCCAAUAUGCUCAAUAGUGUCUUCUCGAAGUUUACUUCUGAAUUAAGAAAUGCGAACCAUUGAUCAUGGAUUUAUUAAGGGUAUCUCCAUGAUUGGUAUCGACUUAGAAAUUACACAAGAUAAAUAUGUAUGAUUAGUCCAUUGGAUAUUCUCCGACGAUUUAAUCAUUAGUCCAUUGGAUAUUCUCCGAGGAUUUAAUCAAUUUCAGCUAUGGAUGCUGACUCAAUUUUCAAACCAAGGUAAAUAAAUCCCUUCCCUUAGAUAUUUUCUACUCAACCUUUCGCUUCAGAAAUUAGUAUAUGCACAAGCAUGAACCUCUGGUUGCUUAAUUUAUUUUGUACAAAUAGUUGGUUUUCAUUUGUUGCCCUGUUUUUCCUGUGAAUAAGGGAUUCGAUGAGAGAUUAUCAUUGUCUUGCUUCUCUGAAUUGAGUUCACAAAGAAAUGAUAGUGUUUUGGACUUGUAGUCAGUAUUUGAAACCAAGUUAUUCUUAUUUCAGAGUAAUGAAUGUCUUUACCGUUGUUAAAUGCAACAAUGGCUAUGAUAAGUACAAAUAAGUAUGUGAUAAGUUCAUUUAUUUUUUCUGGCUCUCUGUUUGCUUAACCUUUCCAUCUCUUUUUAGUUUUGUGUCCUAAGAUUGUUGCUCCAGACCAGAAUCAUGUCAUUAUUCUGUUCAUUUGUUUGUGAGUUCUGAUAAUAAUAUUCUUUUUUUUUCUGCGAUACAUGUAUCUUUAUGGAUGACGAAUUUCCCCAUAAAUUGGUUCUAUGUGAAGGCAAUCAUGAGCGUAUGAUCUCUUUGGUUCUUCCUGCAAGGAAAUGAUUCCUUUAGUUGCUCAUGUAGUAUCCUACUGUUUAUUUCUUUAGUGAUGACAAGUCAAGCAAUCAAUCCCGCUGUUGGGAAACUAAGUGAAUUGUCGUUGUCGAUGGGAUAUUAUUGUUGGGUUCAUUGCUAUAAUGAGAAUGCUUUGGCAUAUACUAUUUUCAUAAGUAUUCUGCACAAGUACUGAAGAAUGAUUCAAACAAGAUGGUGAAGUACAAGCCCAAAGUUCUCGACAAAGAUAGGUCAGGUGACCUUAUUGUUCCUUCCGAGGUGAAAUACAUUUCUGUAGUGAAAUUUUUGAAAGACUUCAAGGUUCUCUCUGAUUUUUUUGAUUGCACAUCAGCGGUACAUUGAGACUUUCAUAUCUUUGAUGUAUCUUCUUCUAAUUCUUGGUUGGUAACUGAUUCAUAUACAUAGACACUGCAAGUGGUAAACAUGCAUGAGAAAGAAUUAUAGCACAUCCAUGCUCUCUUCAAUGCCGAACCAGGGACUUUGGUUCCAUGUGACAACGUACCAUACUCUGCUCCAACCGUCGAUUUCUUCAACAAAUACAAGAACUCAUCACUCUUUUCUCCAAUGAAAAGAACUAUAAGCUGAGCUCUGAGUGCUUAGAGACCAGGGAACAGUCGCACUACCUGUUUUACUAUUCUACUGUACUAUUUCCUUAAGCUUGAUCAAUAAAAAUAUGUUAGUAUGUAGGUCAAGUAGAACCUCCUGCCUUCCAUGUACCGGAUAUGUAAAAGCCUCCAUGAGCUAUCUAAUCAGAUUUGUCAAUCUCACGGUCUACUUAUAUAUGUAUUAUUGUUGUUGUCUAAUCACUGCUCUUAUGUAUAAAUGCAUCUUUUGAGCCCUAUUGCUCAUAACA